rnacentral:rRNA from 1 species
GAUGAACGCUGGCGGCGUGCCUAAUACAUGCAAGUCGAGCGAACAGAUGAGGAGCUUGCUCCUCUGACGUUAGCGGCGGACGGGUGAGUAACACGUGGAUAACCUACCUAUAAGACUGGGAUAACUUCGGGAAACCGGAGCUAAUACCGGAUAAUAUAUUGAACCGCAUGGUUCAAUAGUGAAAGACGGUUUUGCUGUCACUUAUAGAUGGAUCCGCGCCGCAUUAGCUAGUUGGUAAGGUAACGGCUUACCAAGGCAACGAUGCGUAGCCGACCUGAGAGGGUGAUCGGCCACACUGGAACUGAGACACGGUCCAGCCUCCUACGGGAGGCAGCAGUAGGGAAUCUUCCGCAAGGGGCGAAAGCCUGCCGGAGCAACGCCGCGUGAGUGAUGAAGGUUUUCGGAUCGUAAAACUCUGUUAUUAGGGAAGAACAAAUGUGUAAGUAACUAUGCACGUCUUGACGGUACCUAAUCAGAAAGCCACGGCUAACUACGUG